rnacentral:tRNA from 1 species
AAAUAAGAAGUAAAAUUUACAUUUAAUUUCGACCUAAAAAUUUGGUGAUAUCACCCUUAUUUA